UAAUCCAAGAGUUGUACUUUCAAAAUUUGUAUUUAUUAAAUAAAAGUUUUCUGUUAAAAAAAUCUUGAAAAUUAAAAAAAAUAACUGCUAAAUGUUCCUUGUUUAUACUCUGGAAUAGUGUCUGUUGGGUUGGCAGUAUUUGCCUCUUCAUUGUUUGGUAGACCUUCCAAGUAAGACUGGGUCUGGAGUUUUCUUUGAGGGAAAUGUUAAACUACUGAUUGAAUUUCCUGACGGAUGUGUGGUGGUGUCAGUAUUCUGCUUCUAUUCCUCAUUUACCGGGACCCCUGCUCACCCCAGGAAUUUGACAUUUCCAUCUGAGUUUAGAAAUCUAUGGGCAUAUUUUGGUUCAUGACAUUGUUUUAUUUCCAUUUAAGAUUUUGCAAAAUCUGUCGUAAGGUGUGGUGGAAUGAGAAGGCCAUGGCAAGGUGGCCACUGGCAAGCAAGUGUCAGUUACUCAGGAAUGGCUUUGAAACCCACCUGGCAACGGAGCCUGCCUGGCAACAGGCUGUGAUUGGUUGGGGCAUAGACCACCCGUUGACCAGAUUGGCUGGUCUUGGCUAUAUAAGAUGUUGUUCCAACUGUAAUAAACAAGUCUGUGGGCUGCUCGCCUCAGGCCUGCUUUCACCUGACUCCAGGGUCUGUGUGGUGACUCUGCACCUCUUGCCCCCACCACGCUGCUCCUCUCAGAAAUGAAUCCACUGUAACAUUGUUGAGAAAUCAAUGGCAACAUUGUCCAGAAGAUUUAAGGGGCAUCUGGCAGUGGUAUCCUACAUGGAGGAAAAAAAAAAAAGGAACUGGAAUGGAAUUCAGAAGAUGAAAAUCAAGCUAGCAAGACCCUCCAAAAUAUAUUAGGAAGUCUUGUUUCUAAUUUUGAAAUGGUUUUGUGAUAUGUUAGUAUAAUUGCCAAUUCCUCUUUCAUAUAUAUGUAUGAGCUUGAUUCUAUAAUACUUAGAAGCAAAACAUUAGCAACUAUUCUUGAAAAAUAAAAAAGUUUAAAAGAAACAUUUCCUAAAAUAGUACAGAAUCCCAGAAGUCAUUUAAUCUGAGCUCCCUCGUCUUGAGUUACUAAGGAAACUGAAGUUCAGUCAAAAUGAAUGAUUUUUUUAAAGAUUUAUUUAUUUGAAAGAUCUUCCAUCCACCAGUUCCCUCCCCAGAUGGCUGAAUGAAACCAGGAGCUUCUUCCGGGUCUCCCACACGGUGGCAAUGGCCCAAGCAUUUGGGUCGUCUUCUGCUUUUUCCCAGGCCAUCAGCAGGGAGCUGGUUUGGAAGUGGAGCAGCCGGGACAUGAACUGGUACCUGUAUGGAAUGGCAGCAUGACAAGUGGCAGCUUUACCCACUCCGCCACAACGCCGGCCCCUGAAAUGAAUGAUUCGAUAAACAGGUAAAAAGUUACAGAAUGAGUGUAGGAUCAGAAAGAGCGACUUACCUAGAGCUUGAUAAUCUGGUGUAAACAACUGAAUUAAGACAGACCAGCACCAUACAUGAUUAACUGGGA